GCAAGUCGAACGGCAGCACGAGAGCUUGCUCUUGGUGGCGAGUGGCCAUCGGGUGAGUAAUAUAUCGGAACGUAUCCAAUAAUGGGGGAUAACUAAUCGAAAGGUUAGCUAAUACCGCAUACGCCCUACGGGGGAAAGCAGGGGAUCUUCGGACCUUGCGUUAAUGGAGCGGCUGAUAUCUGAUUAGCUAGUAGGUGAGGUAAAGGCUCACCUAGGCUUCGAUCAGUAGCUGGUCUGAGAGGACGACCAGCCACACUGGAACUGAGACACGGUCCAGACUCCUACGGGAGGCAGCAGUGGGGAAUUUUGGACAAUGGGCGCAAGCCUGAUCCAGCCAUUCCGCGUGAGUGAAGAAGGCCUUCGGGUUGUAAAGCUCUUUCGCAAGGGAAGAAACGAUACCGACGAAUAAUCGGUGUUAAUGACGGUACCUUGAUAAGAAGCACCGGCUAACUACGUGCCAGCAGCCGCGGUAAUACGUAGGGUGCGAGCGUUAAUCGGAAUUACUGGGCGUAAAGCGUGCGCAGGCGGUUUUGUAAGUCAGAUGUGAAAUCCCCGGGCUCAACCUGGGAACUGCGUUUGAAACUACAAGGCUAGAGUAUGGUAGAGGGGGGUAGAAUUCCACGUGUAGCAGUGAAAUGCGUAGAGAUGUGGAGGAAUACCAAUGGCGAAGGCAGCCCCCUGGACUAAUACUGACGCUCAUGCACGAAAGCGUGGGGAGCAAACAGGAUUAGAUACCCUGGUAGUCCACGCCCCUAACGAUGUCUACUAGUUGUUGGG
rnacentral:rRNA from 1 species